AACGUAGGUUCCGAGCGUUAUCCGGAUUUACUGGGCGUAAAGCGCGUUCAGGCGGUUUGGCAAGUCGGGCAUGAAAUCUCUCGGCUCAACCGGGAGAGGUUGUCCGAUACUGUUAGACUUGAGGGCAGUAGAGGGUGGUGGAAUUCCGGGUGUAGUGGUGAAAUUCGUAGAUAUUCGCAAGAACACCAGUGGCGAAGGCGGCUCACUGGCCCGGUACUGACGCUGAGGCACGAAAGCGUGGGGAGCAAACAGG
rnacentral:rRNA from 1 species